rnacentral:lncRNA from 1 species
CAAUAAAAUAAAAUAUAAUAGUAAAAAAAACAAAUUAUGAAGAACGCAAGCAGUGACCGUUGCAAACUUACUGUGUGACGAGCGUCACACACUCCAUCACGGUCGUCACACCAAGUGCCUGUGACGCCCGUAACACCUCUGUCACGAGCGUGACACCUUCAGACUAGGUGAACGUUAGUAACCGUUGGAGACACGACCG